UACGUAGGUGGCGAGCGUUGUUCGGAAUCACUGGGCAUAAAGGGCGCGUAGGCGGCCUGCUAAGUCGAACGUGAAAUCCCCGAGCUCAACUCGGGAACUGCGUCCGAUACUGGCAGGCUUGAAUCCGGGAGAGGGAUGCGGAAUUCCAGGUGUAGCGGUGAAAUUCGUAGAUAUCAAGCGGAACACCGGUGGCGAAGGCGGCCUUCUGGACAGUGACUGACGCUGAGACGCGAAAGCGUGGGAGCAAACAGG
rnacentral:rRNA from 1 species